rnacentral:ncRNA from 1 species
GAGCGCCGUGUACUAUGAAAGUGGCACGCACGGUGUAGGACGGGGGAAAAGGUGGAGAUAAUCUCAAAGCCUUACCUAUUGUCAU